rnacentral:lncRNA from 1 species
UACUACCAGUGUAAUGAUUUUCUCCAAGGCCGAGUGAAUUAAGUCCGGUUAGAUUCCCUAUCCAACUAGGGAUUCUACCGGUGAAAAAGUUCGCCGAAAGAUCAAGAACACGGAGGCUUCUUAGUCCAGAAAAAUCCGGAAUCGAACCAACGAGUUCGUUUCCGGAUAGAUUCAAGACUCUGAGGUGUGUGAAUUUGGUUACUUCUGGAGGAAGUUUUCCGGAAAUGGAGUUGGAUGGUAGUGAAAGGACUUGCAGGCUAUGAAGUAUUGAGAUUGAUGGAAAAAUUUCGCCCGAGAGCGAGUUAUCGUCUAAUGAGAUUUCUAUGACUUUGAAAGAUGGUUGAGCACAUGUGAUUCCAUGGAAGUUGCAUGGAGUGCUUGAUUCAUUCCAUGAAGCUAAAGUGUUCGACGAAUCGGUUAAAUGAUCUUUGAAUUGAAGAAGUGCUUGUGUUUCAGUUGUUUGAGAUUCACAUGGAGGGAAAAUGAGUAACAAAGUUGCCAUGAAGAUGAAAAGGUGAAAGAAAUGGGAUGUGUUGGCCAUUGAAACAAAUUUGGAAGGACUAAGUUGUUGAUAAGGUUUGAAAACUAUGGUCGCAUCAUGAUCUUUGAUAUUGCGGAGAGAAUUAUGGUCGAAUGCGGCUAGUUCAUAUGAAGUUCAAGGAUAAAGUUGUUAACAAGAUUCAAAAAGUUGAAGUGUGAAGUGUUUUUUGAAAUUGUAGAGAAUCGUGGUCAAAAAUGCGACGGAUGAUGCAGACAAAAUUGUCAAUAGGGUUUUAACACGCCGUGUCACAAUGUUUGAUAUUGUAGCUAAUGUAGCUUCAAUGGUUGAAUGUUGAGGUAAAAAAAACUUUGAUGUCGUAACCGUGGUGUGAAUGUGGAUGAUAUUUGAUUUGAAGUUUGAUGAUCAAUGAAGCAUUAUUGAAGGAGUGUCACAAUCCUAAAAACAUUAAAAUACAAAAAUCAGACAUAGUGACAUUAGUAAAUAGUGCAAUGCAAAGAAAAAACAAAUAGUGAUUAGGUGAGACAAAAAAAAUUUAAGUUGAAGUUGAAAUGUCAAUUUUAUUAGCAUGGGUAAAGAAUGAUUGAACUUUCAUUAUUAUGAUUCUAAUCAAAGAAUUGAAGAAAGAGAUAACAAUAAUAAUGCUUUGAAGUCACUCAUUUCACACAUCUUUUGCAAAGCACUAUAGUUUCUAAUCUAAUUUGCUCUAAAUGCAAGGCACAUAUAAUAAUUGUAUACACAUUUUCUUUAUAAUCAUGAGUUACUUAUAACUUUUUUUGGAUGCUUCUUUUUAAUAAUGAUAUGAUAAUGAUAGUUAGAAAUUGGUAAAGAUUCAAAUUUAGAAUGAUGAACACUCUUUGGCUCUUUUUCAAUAUAACUUUACUCUUUGAUUUUGUUUUCGAAGAGAAAUUAAAAAAGUUAUAUGUAGAAAAAGAAUGAGAAGAAUGAAGAUAUGAGAUAGUAAUAAAAUUUGAUUUUCUAACCUGAUUUUUCGGUGUGAGGAAGUGUCUUUUUCUUCUUUGUUUUCUGCCAAGUGAGAAUUUUAUGAAGGAAAUGAUUUGUGAGUGAAAGUGAGAAUAGAAAAUGGUGUUUUUAUAAGAGAAAAUUUAUGAUUGAAAUGUAGUGGGAAAUUAGAAAUGUGUGCUUAUUAGUCGGUAACCGAAAGAGGUGAAAAGAAAAUAGAAUUAUUUGAUUGGUGCAUUAAUGUAUGAAGUGGCCAUGGCCAUAAAAUAAAAUAGUGGUAUAGAUACAUUAUGUUGUUUUGGAUGUUUUAUUUGGAAGAUUCCAAAAGGACAUUAAGAAGAUGAGUCACCAAAGUUGAAACUUAGAAAGACAAAUCUGAUAUUAUCUCCAUCCAUAAUUAUAUUUUUUUUAUUUAACUUAUUUAUUAAGAAAAAUAUAUAGAAUAAAUUUUGUGAGUAAUUCUUUUUUGAAAUUUUAUUUGUAUAUUAAUUUGUAUAAUUUGGUCCGAAAAAUCUAACUGUUGGAAGUUUGCCAGAAUUCGAAUUAUAGUUCUCAUGGUUUUGUGUGUGAAUUUUUAAUUAUAUUAUCACUUUAUCUAAAAAGAAAGUGUAUAAUUUUUAUUUUUAUUUUUAUUUUUAAAAUAAACUAAUAAUAUUAUUGAUAGACAUGUUUUAAAAAAUCCACAUAAUAUCACAUGUGUUUAUAUUUUAUGACAGCUUUCUUUGGAAAAACUCGUAAGAUUUUUUCUAGUCAAAUUAUAAAAAUAUAUAAUUACACUAAAAUUUAAUUAAAUGUAAUAAUAAUAAUAAUAAUAAUAAUUUAUUAAAAAUUAUUUAUUUUAUUUUUUAUUAUAAACUUUUUCUUGAUCAUUCUCACAAACAUCCUUAGAUAACUAUCACUAUAUCUUUUAUUUAUACUCUAUAACAUACAAUAAUGAAUUUCUGUAUUUUUAGACAUUCAUUUUGAUGUUAAAAUUCUUUGAAUAAAAAUGAAAAAUGAAAAAUGAUGAGCGCACAAUAUUUAAUUUUUUUUAAUUGUAUACUGUUAAAAUGCAAAUGAACUCAUUUUGCAGAAGUUUAAGUGAGUUUUUGAACUUAAACAAAUCGAUUUUAAAAAGUGCAAAUGAAUUGAGUUACUAGAAGUAACUAAACUGAAUUUAUAUUAAUCUUUAUGUAGAGUUAUACACAAUUAGAAUCUAGAACUUAACUUUAAUUUAAUAUUUUAAUAAUUUUGUGAUUUAAUCCAAUUUUUAAGAGUGUAAAAAAAUUAUAAAUGAGAACAUAAAGAUAAUUAAUGGGGGUUACAAUUGCCCCACUUAGCAAAAGAGAGAAUGAGAUGAGAGACAUGUGGGGAACGUGACAAAAUAUUUUUUUAAGUCUAUUUAUUAAAUAUAAAGCAAAAAAUAAUAAUUAUGUUGGUUAGUCUUAAUAAAUAAAUAAAACAAAUGUCGACAAGUCCAAAAAAAAAUAUCGACUACUUCAGCUAUAAUUAAUGUUAUCAUUUUUAAAUAUUAAUAGAAAAAUUCAUGUGAAUGAUAAUAUGAAAAAUAUGAUUUUUUAUUAUUAGUGUGAGAAAAUUAAAUCAAUUUAAUCACUUUUAAACAUUGCAAAUUAUUAUUGAUCUCUUUAUUUUAUAAUAAUAUACAUUUAAAAACAAUCAUAAAUUUUUUUUGAAGUUUUUAAUUUAUCAUUAAUUUCUCCCCAAUUAUAUACUAUAAAUAUCAUUAUUUUUAUUAUACAUUUUAUAACAAUAAAAAUAUCAUUACUUUUACUAUACAUUUUAGAAUCACAUUAAUUCUAUUGAACAAUUUCAAGAAUUAAAUGAAAUAAUUUUCCACUUCUAUAAACUUGUUAUACAUUUUCUCUUAGUGAAUGGAGCACGAAAAAAAGAAUUAUUGUCAGAUUCAUAUAGGCACUAAUUUUCUUAUCAAUUACUUGUCCUUUAUGCUAUCUUCCUUUUUCAUUUCACUGCAUGAAUAAUCACUUUUUUUAAGGAAUAAUUCCUAUAUUACUCGAUCAGUAGUAGUUCUUCCUAUACUAGAACACUUCCAAAAAUGUAACCAGUGAAAGCUUCAUGUGAACUUUUUUUCAUUUGGUUUUGAUAAGUCCACGUGAACUUUAAGAAUCAUUUUUAUAUAAAAUAUUCAAAGAUAACGAUAUUUGCCUAAAUUUUGCUCAUAUAUAAAUUCAAUAACUUAAUAAUAAUAAUAAUAAUAAUAAUAAUAAUAAUAAUAAUAAUAAUAAUAAUAAUAAUAAAAAACAUAUUUGGCCCAAAAAUAAUAAUAGGCCGAUCAAAUUUAAUCUUCAUUCAGAUGACCUAUUUCAUAAGCAUCAAUAUUCACUUUGUGAAAAGAUGCUUGUUUCCAUUUCUUUUGACUUGCUUCCUUCUGAAGAUGUUGUAUCUUUUUCGCUCUUCGAAUCUUGAUGCUCGACAGAUCAAAAACCAAAGCAGCGAUGAGAUAACAGCAAUUACCAAGAGCAAAUAUAUAUUUAUAACCAAAGAAACCUCUUCUAUGACCAUGAUCAUUCCACAAAUCUUCAAAUCCGAAUUUUAUCGAACUUCUUGGAAUUUUCUCACACCAUAAACCUUUGUUUCGAACAAAAGCCUUCUCUCCCCGGAUGACAAGUAUCCCGAACGGAAUUCCACCAGAAAGCAGAUUAUCAGAAAAAUCAACGAACUUAGUUUUAUUUUUCUCCAAAUUAUCAGGAAUCGAACCUGUUAACUUGUUUCUAGACAAAUUCAACGAAUUCAACGAACUCAUAAGCGAAACCGAGUUCGGAAUAUUUCCAGAUAGAGAAUUCAAUGCAAGAUUCAAAUCCACAAGCCUUGAACAAUGGCCUAACUCUUUAGGUAUUAAACCAGUUAAGGAAUUUUUCCUCCAAAUGCAAAGUGGAUUAACUGUUUUAAAAAUCCAAUCUCAUGUGGAAUUUCACCAGAGAAAUUGUUGUUGCUCAAGUAAAGUUUCUCCAAAUUCGCCAAUUUCCGAUUUCUGAAGGAACCUUACCAGAAAAUGUUGUUCGUCAAAAACAACUCAGUUAAUUUGUUGAGUUACCAAUCUGUGAAGAAACUUCACCACUGAAAUUGUUAAACCCGAGAUCAAUUAUCUUCGCAUUCGGAAGUGACCAAACACCAUUAGGAAUUUUUCCAGAUAAAAAAUUUCCACUGAUCCUCAAUCUCUCUAGUGACUUGCAUGAAGCAUAAGAUUCGAAAUAUUUCCAGUGAAAUUGUUUUGCAAUGCAAGCAGAAUUGUCAACUUUUGCUUCUCACACAAGUACUUUGGGAAGAAACCUGAAAACUGAUUCUCAGAACACGUCGAUGCCUCUCAAGAGGAGAAAAUCGGCCCGAAAUUCUCCGGAAUCGAACCGGUGAAACGGUUUCUGUAAACCGAAAAGCCUCUGAGAUUCUCCAUAUCACCAAAUCCAACAGGAAUCUCACCAGAAAAGUUGUUAUCAUAGAGCUGAAACAGCCAAAUUCACCAUAUCACCAAUUCUCUUAGGCAAUUUACCAAACAUGUUGUUUGCAGAAAUAUCAAUCUCUUGCAAAUUGGUUAAAUUCGCGAGCUCUUCCGGUAUUCCGCCUGUCAAAUUGUUCGAAAAACAAUUCGAUCUUGUAAACAUUCUUCAGCUUCGAAAUCGAACUAGAUAUUUUUCCAGAUAGCUUGUUUCUUGACAAAUCCAAAGUCUCCAAUGCUUCCAUUUCAUACAAUGAUUCUGGAAUCUCUCCAACCAACUGAGCACCGCCAAGGUAAAGCCAUGUCAAAUUUUUCAAAUUUCCAAGACUCUCUGGAAUCAUACUACCAGUGUAAUGAUUUUCUCCAAGGCCGAGUGAAUUAAGUCCGGUUAGAUUCCCUAUCCAACUAGGGAUUCUACCGGUGAAAAAGUUCGCCGAAAGAUCAAGAACACGGAGGCUUCUUAGUCCAGAAAAAUCCGGAAUCGAACCAACGAGUUCGUUUCCGGAUAGAUUCAAGGACUCUGAGGUGUGUGAAUUUGGUUACUUCUGGAGGAAGUUUUCCGGAAAUGGAGUUGGAUGGUAGUGAAAGGACUUGCAGGCUAUGAAGUAUUGGAGAUUGAUGGAAAAAUUUCGCCCGAGAGCGAGUUAUCGUCUAAUGAGAUUUCUAU